UCCGUCUCUUGCGCAUUGUCAGAGUGUGUGGCAGAAAGCAGGGCCGUGAUUGGCCCCAAGGGUAGGCGCUGGCGGUUGGCUGGCGGCGGAGAGGCGGGCUGUAUGAGCGGGGAAGUGUUGCUGCGUUACUGAAUGCCCGCACCGGGCGCACUGAGUGUGUGUUACAUACUGACUGUGCGGCGCGUCACCCCCGGCAGCUACCCACUAUCACAGUUACUGCUGUGACCGUCCGUAGCGGCAGCACCAGAUCUUCAUUUAUCAUACACAUCCUCAAUUAUAUGACAAAGCUGGAGAAAUGGCUGUAAAGCAGAACAGUCAGGAACGCAUUCUGUUACUUGAGGAAGAAAUCAGCAGCUUGACUGAAGAAUUGUCCCAGUGCCAGGCCGACAAGGAGUUUGUAUGGUCUUUAUGGAAGCGUCUUCAAGUAUCCAAUCCAGACCUAACACAAGCUGUUGGCUUAGUUGUGGACAGGUAAG